ensembl:lncRNA
GGGGCUCUAGGGGGUUUCUGUGGGUCUCUGUGUGGUCUCUGGAGCUCUGUGGGUCUCUAUGGGGUUUCUAUGGGGCUCUGGGGGAUUCUAUGGGGUCUCUAGGUCUCUAUGGGGCUCUAUGGAGUUUCUGUGGGGCUUUAUGGGGUCUCUGUGGGUUUCUCUGGGGCUCUAUGGGGCUUCUAUGAGGCUCCGUGGGUCUCUAUGGGGUUUCUGUGAGGCUCUGGGGGUCUCUAUGGGGUUUCUAUGGGGCUCUAUGGGGCUUCUGUGGGUCUCUAUGGGGUCUCUAUGGGUCUCUAUGGGG